AUUUCGAUAACAAACCUAUAUCUGUGAUACCAUUCAAUGAGAUUCGCAAUUCCACACAAAAAGUUUAUGUACAUACCUGAAUCAAAUAUAACCAAUAUUGACUUAUGCCCUUCUCAUAAAAACCGUCCAAUUUACCAAUGAAAUUACAUAUAAUAAUAAUAAUAAUAAAAUAUAUGUUAACAAGGUAUAAACGGGCAAUUGUAAAUAUUUUAAUUUAAACACCAAUUUUAAAUUUUAAAUCAAGUAGUUUAAUACGUCUAAACCAUUCGUUUUGAAAUAUUUUUAUACGAGGGUUCGCAGAAUUGAUU